rnacentral:rRNA from 1 species
GACGAACGCUGGCGGCGUGCCUAAUACAUGCAAGUUGAGCGCUGAAGGUUGGUACUUGUACCGACUGGAUGAGCAGCGAACGGGUGAGUAACGCGUGGGGAAUCUGCCUUUGAGCGGGGGACAACAUUUGGAAACGAAUGCUAAUACCGCAUAAAAACUUUAAACACAAGUUUUAAGUUUGAAAGAUGCAAUUGCAUCACUCAAAGAUGAUCCCGCGUUGUAUUAGCUAGUUGGUGAGGUAAAGGCUCACCAAGGCGAUGAUACAUAGCCGACCUGAGAGGGUGAUCGGCCACAUUGGGACUGAGACACGGCCCAAACUCCUACGGGAGGCAGCAGUAGGGAAUCUUCGGCAAUGGACGAAAGUCUGACCGAGCAACGCCGCGUGAGUGAAGAAGGUUUUCGGAUCGUAAAACUCUGUUGGUAGAGAAGAACGUUGGUGAGAGUGGAAAGCUCAUCAAGUGACGGUAACUUCCCAGAAAGGGACGGCUAACUACGUG